rnacentral:tRNA from 1 species
GAGGGUAUAGCUCAGUGGUACAGUGCUUGCUUGGCAUGCACAAGAUCCUGGGUUCAGUCCCCAGUACCUACA